GCGGGUGUGGUCCAAUGGCAGAAUGCGGGCUUCCCAAGCCUGAGACGAGGGUUCGAUUCCCUUCACCCGCUCCA
rnacentral:tRNA from 1 species